GUCCGUUGGGUCCUACCCAUCUGAAUACGAUAAGUCCCAGAGGCAAACCCUUAGGAGAUACGCCGCAAAAUUCAGGCUGAAGGGCGGAGUGCUCUUGUUUGGAAACAGGAGAGUGAUAAAAACAAAAGAAGAAGCCAUGGGACUAUUCCAAGAGCUUCAUUCAAGUCCCAUCGGUCGACACACUGGCGUACUCAAGACUCGAACUGCAAUUUGUUCCAGAUUUUACUGGUAUGGCAUGUCGGUUGACAUUGGGAAUUGGGUCCUGGCUUGUGACCAGUGUCAAAAAAUGGGAAAACCAUUGGCUGCUGUGCAACCACUGCAGUGUAUAAAGGUGUCACAUGUCUGGGAGCUAAUCGGAAUAGAUCUAACUGGACCUCUUCCAAAAACGUCUAGUGGCUUCCAGUACAUUAUGACUGCAACGGACUAUUUUUCAAAAUGGGUUGAGGCUUUUCCAUUAAAAAGUGCUG